rnacentral:snRNA from 1 species
UCACCCACCAAUAGGGAA